AUUGAACGCUGGCGGAAUGCUUUACACAUGCAAGUCGAACGGCAGCACGGACUUCGGUCUGGUGGCGAGUGGCGAACGGGUGAGUAACAUAUCGGAACGUAUCCAAUAAUGGGGGAUAACUAAUCGAAAGGUUGGCUAAUACCGCAUACGCCCUACGGGGGAAAGCAGGGGAUCUUCGGACCUUGCGUUAAUGGAGCGGCUGAUAUCUGAUUAGAUAGUUGGUGAGGUAAAGGCUCACUAAGGCGACGAUCAGUAGCUGGUCUGAGAGGACGAACCGCCAAACUGGAACUGAGACACGGUCCAGACUCCUACGGGAGGCAGCAGUGGGGAAUUUUGGACAAUGGGCGCAAGCCUGAUCCAGCCAUUCCGCGUGAGUGAAGAAGGCCUUCGGGUUGUAAAGCUCUUUCGCAAGGGAAGAAAACUUACUUUCUAAUAAAGAGUGAGGUUGACGGUACCUUGAUAAGAAGCACCGGCUAACUACGUGCCAGCCGCCGCGGUAA
rnacentral:rRNA from 1 species